UAGCUUAGGGUUUACACAUUUUAAUUCAUUCAUCACUUUCCUCUCAAGAACCCUAAGGAAGCCACCAUUGGAGAAAAGCUUGACUAGUAGCUUUGACUUCAUUUUUUGUGCUCUUUCACUCACCUUAGAACUUUGAACUUGGAAUACUUUAGGCUCCUCCCACUCUCCUCUUCAAAACCCUUGAAGGAUCUAGCCUAACUCCUAGUUUUGCUUUGGUAUCUAGAGAUUCAAUUCUCUAGUGAGUUGAAGGUAGCAAGCUGAAAAAUCUGUUUUGCGGACCGAAAAUUUGGGACGAUUUCAUUUCGGUGGUAAUUGGGAUUUUCAUUCCAAUUGAGGUACAGGACUCAGGAUUUGAAGAUUCCAUUGCUCCUUGGAUGGCUUACAGUUUCUAUGUUUUUAUUUUAUGUAAGUGUUAGCAUAAGAUUCCUCUUUGUAGCCCUAUUUGUUUAAACUUGUAUUCGUUGAUUCGUAUAUGUAAAGUGUACGUAAGUGCACUGUUUUCAAUAUAUUUAACAUAUAUGAGAUGAGGCCAGAGGCCAAUGACAUGUAUCUCGU